GCUUUGUCCGGAAUCAUUGGGCGUAAAGGGCGCGUAGGUGGCCCGGUAAGCGUGCGGUGAAAGCUCGGGGCUCAACCCCGAGUCGGCCGUGCGAACUACUGGGCUCGAGCACUGUAGAGGCAGGCGGAAUUCCGGGUGUAGCGGUGGAAUGCGUAGAGAUCCGGAAGAACACCGGUGGCGAAGGCGGCCUGCUGGGCAGUUGCUGACGCUGAGGCACGAAGGCGUG
rnacentral:rRNA from 1 species